GGACCUUUUAUCUCAACAAUUUGCUACGGCGGACCUCAGUUGGCAUGUGCAACACAAUGUCACAUUCUGUUCAUGAAUGAGCUCGAAAUUGCUCAUGCCAACUUGGGCCAGCCGUAGCACGUUCUUGAACGACACGUCC